rnacentral:rRNA from 1 species
AUUGAACGCUGGCGGCAGGCCUAACACAUGCAAGUCGAACGGUAACAGAAAGCAGCUUGCUGCUUUGCUGACGAGUGGCGGACGGGUGAGUAAUGUCUGGGAAACUGCCUGAUGGAGGGGGAUAACUACUGGAAACGGUAGCUAAUACCGCAUAACGUCGCAAGACCAAAGAGGGGGACCCUCGGGCCUCUUGCCAUCGGAUGUGCCCAGAUGGGAUUAGCUAGUAGGUGGGGUAAAGGCUCACCUAGGCGACGAUCCCUAGCUGGUCUGAGAGGAUGACCAGCCACACUGGAACUGAGACACGGUCCAGACUCCUACGGGAGGCAGCAGUGGGGAAUAUUGCACAAUGGGCGCAAGCCUGAUGCAGCCAUGCCGCGUGUAUGAAGAAGGCCUUCGGGUUGUAAAGUACUUUCAGCGGGGAGGAAGGGAGUAAAGUUAAUACCUUUGCUCAUUGACGUUACCCGCAGAAGAAGCACCGGCUAACUCCGUG